rnacentral:lncRNA from 1 species
AUGGAGGUGUGCAACUCAUCAGUGCCCCUCUCGGGUGGCCGAGCACCCGCUCCGGGUACGUGCCAGGGCACACGUCUGCUCCUAAGGGACACCUUCAUUUGUGGCUUUGAUUUUAGCCCCGAUAUUUGGGCCAGCAGUCUCCAGCCGUGCAUUUAUAAAGCUCUGCGUUGCUACAACACAGAGUUYGUGGCCAAAGCGUCCACGGCGUGGAGGGGGCGCAGGUCCGACCCCCGUGGAACGGCCUGGCUGGAGCUGCGGCGCUCGCYGCGGAGGAGAGCCGCUCCGGCCCUUGCCCGGGCAGUGCAAUCCCCCCAGGACUGCCUCCGUGCUCUGCCCCGAGCAAGGCUUUGUUUCAGGGGAAGAGGAAGGCAGAUUCGGUGUCCAGCCGGCACAAGGGGUCUCAGCGGGGCUGCGCAGGGCUGCGGCCGCGAUGCAUCACCCAGGAAGGCUGCAAACGAGCUCCAGCCAUUUCAGCACGAGAAAUGCUGGAAAACGUCAGGUCAAAGCCUUUUCGGGGGGGGGGAUUCGGGCUGGGCAAGCACGAGAAACCCCGCGGGAGCCCCGCCGGGGAGCGGGUGGAGCGCAGCCCUCGGGGAGGGYGGCAGGGCAGGGGCCGGCGGCCAUCCAGCGCCCAUCCUGCAGCACUGCCGUGGGCCCGUUGCCGGCCGGUGUGCGCGGAGGCGAGCCGGAGGAGCGUGUUGCUGUUUAGACGACUUGUUGAGCGAGCCAGCGAGCGCYGGAGCAGCAGCCCGUUUGCGCGUGGCAGCCGGUGCUCGGGGCUGCCCACAAACCCCGCGCAAACCUCGCGCCAGCGGCGCGGCUGGGGCGAACGGGCAGCGGCGGCCGAGAACGAGCCGGACCCGCGUCGGCGGAGCCGGAGCCGCCAGCCGGCCCCGCAGCUGCGCGCGCGGCUCCAAAGGGGGCUGCUGCAGCCGGCGCGUUGGCUCAGGCUGCGCGGGACGUCCCGUUUUAGGAAAGGCAGGCAGGAUUACCUUCCUCAUAGGAGAGACAGCUCAAAAAUCUUCUAAGUCAAUGCCUGCUUUGGUGAGUGCUGAAGAAAACAUUUUGGAUAUUGCCCCAUCAAAACCAAAUUAA